GUCUGUUUAGAUUUUGAGAGAAUACUCUAUUGAGAGAUUUGUUCCUGCUUACGAGGUUUUUCUGUUACUCAAAGCCAGAAUGUUGACAACAUCCACUCCUGAAACAAGUCUUAAUUUUGAAAUCUAUGCAGUAUCUUCUGCUGCUGGAGGCUUUUAUGUAUUAACCUUAACAGAAGGCUGAAGGGCUGAAAUGAAAUCCUUGGCACACGUACAAGAUUCAGAGCGUUGCAUGUCUUGCAGUUCAGGUUUGGCUUGUCUGCUUUUCAGCUCUUCUAGACAUUGGAAAUUCCAGUUUGUGUUUAUUUUCUCUGGAUUCCUUCCCACAAGACAGAAGUGAAUUCAGCAUGGAUUAUUGGGGAGAGCCUUGGCUGGGAAUAAGGAUAAUUGCAGCCUCUGGCUGUGCCACAGUUUCACUGAUGAUUUCUUUUAAGUUACUCACCUGCACUGUAUCUGUUUCCUCAGCUGUAAAAUGUGGGUAAUUACCUCCAUUGUAAAAUGUUACAGGGUCUGCUGGUAAUUAUAUGAACGAAGUGCUAAUUACAGUGAUUAUCCCUUGGA